GAUGAACGCUGGCGGCGUGCCUAAUACAUGCAAGUCGAGCGAACAGACGAGGAGCUUGCUCCUCUGACGUUAGCGGCGGACGGGUGAAUAACACGUGGAUAACCUACCUAUAAGACUGGGAUAACUUCGGGAAACCAGAGCUAAUACCGGAUAAUAUAUUGAACCGCAUGGUUCAAUAGUGAAAGACGGUUUUGCUGUCACUUAUAGAUGGAUCCGCGCCGCAUUAGCUAGUUGGUAAGGUAACGGCUUACCAAGGCAACGAUGCGUAGCCGACCUGAGAGGGUGAUCGGCCACACUGGAACUGAGACACGGUCCAGACUCCUACGGGAGGCAGCAGUAGGGAAUCUUCCGCAAUGGGCGAAAGCCUGACGGAGCAACGCCGCGUGAGUGAUGAAGGUCUUCGGAUCGUAAAACUCUGUUAUUAGGGAAGAACAAAUGUGUAAGUAACUAUGCACGUCUUGACGGUACCUAAUCAGAAAGCCACGGCUAACUACGUG
rnacentral:rRNA from 1 species